rnacentral:rRNA from 1 species
AUUGAACGCUGGCGGCAGGCCUAACACAUGCAAGUCGGACGGUAGCACAGAGAGCUUGCUCUUGGGUGACGAGUGGCGGACGGGUGAGUAAUGUCUGGGGAUCUGCCCGAUAGAGGGGGAUAACCACUGGAAACGGUGGCUAAUACCGCAUAACGUCGCAAGACCAAAGAGGGGGACCUUCGGGCCUCUCACUAUCGGAUGAACCCAGAUGGGAUUAGCUAGUAGGCGGGGUAAUGGCCCACCUAGGCGACGAUCCCUAGCUGGUCUGAGAGGAUGACCAGCCACACUGGAACUGAGACACGGUCCAGACUCCUACGGGAGGCAGCAGUGGGGAAUAUUGCACAAUGGGCGCAAGCCUGAUGCAGCCAUGCCGCGUGUAUGAAGAAGGCCUUCGGGUUGUAAAGUACUUUCAGCGGGGAGGAAGGCGGUACGGUUAAUAACCGUACCGAUUGACGUUACCCGCAGAAGAAGCACCGGCUAACUCCGUGCCAGCAGCCGCGGUAA